ensembl:lncRNA
CCCAAGUCCUGCUUGUCUUACUAUUGCUGAGAUUAAAUAUAAGGGCUCUGUCAUGACCUCUCUACCUUGAACAACGCUUCACCUCUCCUGCUGCUUUUGAGUCCAUGAACACAUAUCAAAUGUGCAUUUUUUCUGCUUUCGUCAGUCUAUUUUUGCCAAAAGAUUUAAGAAUUUUCAUAGUCACCUUGCUUAAAAGUGCACAUGCAUGAAUGCAUCCAUACAGACUAUAUAUGCGAUUUAGCAAAGGUAACUAAGGGGGGACAGUUUUUGUAUUUGCUCUUUGCAGAUGGCUAAGGAAAGACUAUAUUUGAAUUCAAGGGAAAUAGCAAUAAGGACGAUGAAAAUAAUGGUCUAACUAUGGUUUAAGAUGUAAAAAAGAAAAAAAUAUCUCAAAAGUUCUAAAGAAUCUCUGUCUUCCAAAUAAUGUUUAACAUGAAAAGGUAAAUUGUAUUUAUUUAACUCUUCUGCUUUCUAUACAGUUCGACCUGUUCUCUGCAACCACCCCCUCCUCCCACUGUUGAUAAUCUGAUGGGAUUAGGAGCUCUGCUCCGUAUUCACCCAUCGUUUGCAUCUUCCCGUAUGUACAGAGCACCCUCUGCAGUCGCUAACAUGUGCUAGUAUGCUCAUAGCUCAUUGUUUUAUUACCAGCAUAAUAUGCAACGGCCCCAUUUCCACUACCAGCUUUUUCACAUUUCCCUUUCGGAGGUUUUGAAGGGGUGAACAAGUCGAGUGUGACUCUACAUGUCUCAAAGUCUGCUAGUGCACAUAGGGCCAAUUAAGAACUCUGGAUAAGAUUUAAAAAAACAUCUUGCUCAUACAACGAUCUUGUUAAGUGACUGGUGAGAUGCUGUUUUUUGUUUUUUAAGCCUUUCUUUGCGUUUCGUAGUCGCAUUGGAGAAGUGAAUAUCGGAGGGAAUCGGUCUGACUCUAUAGAAAGCACUUCUUUUCCUUUAAGAGAUCUUUUAAAAAAAUGAGAAUAUGAACUGCUGAAAAGUAACUUACAG